UUAUUACAGGAUCAAGGCCUGUCUUUCUAG
rnacentral:tRNA from 1 species